rnacentral:rRNA from 1 species
ACGGAGAGUUUGAUCCUGGCUCAGGAUGAACGCUGGCGGCGUGCUUAACACAUGCAAGUCGAACGGAAAGGCCCUUCGGGGUACUCGAGUGGCGAACGGGUGAGUAACACGUGGGUGAUCUGCCCCGCACUUCGGGAUAAGCCUGGGAAACUGGGUCUAAUACCGGAUAGGACCACUUCUUGGAGGUUGUGGUGGAAAGUUUUUUCGGUGUGGGAUGAGCUCGCGGCCUAUCAGCUUGUUGGUGGGGUAAUGGCCUACCAAGGCGUCGACGGGUAGCCGGCCUGAGAGGGUGUACGGCCACAUUGGGACUGAGAUACGGCCCAGACUCCUACGGGAGGCAGCAGUGAGGAAUCUUGGACAAUGGGCGAAAGCCUGAUCCAGCCAUGCCGCGUGAAUGAUGAAGGCCUUAGGGUUGUAAAAUUCUUUCAGCAGGGAAGAUAAUGACGGUACCUGCAAAAGAAGCCCCGGCUAACUCCGUGCCAGCAGCCGCGGUAAUACG